rnacentral:tRNA from 1 species
UCCCUGGUGGUCCAUGGAUAAGACUCUGUACUCCCAAUGCAGGGGGCCCAGGUUCGAUCCCUGGCCAGGAAA